rnacentral:rRNA from 1 species
CGGACCGGCGCGACGGGUGAGUAACGCGUAUGCAACCUACCUAUCAGGAGGGGAAUAACCCGGCGAAAGUCGGACUAAUACCGCAUAAAACAGGGGUUCCACAUGGAAAUAUUUGUUAAAGAAUUAUCGCUGAUAGAUGGGCAUGCGUUCCAUUAGAUAGUUGGUGAGGUAACGGCUCACCAAGUCCACGAUGGAUAGGGGUUCUGAGAGGAAGGUCCCCCACACUGGUACUGAGACACGGACCAGACUCCUACGGGAGGCAGCAG